rnacentral:pre_miRNA from 1 species
UAUGGAAUUGCUGGGUCAUAUGGUAACUAUGUUUAACCAUUUGAGGAACUACCAAGCUAUUUUACACAGUGGCCAUACCAACUGACAUUACCCUCAGCAGU